CUUUUGGUUGCUUCCGCUUCCGGUGUGGUGAGCUGUGUGGCGCGGGGCCGGUGUGGCGGGGCAUCUCGGAGGUUAGUGAUUCAAAUCACCUGCUCUGAAGAAAUCUGAAUGUGGCUUCAGUGGGAAUUUUAAGGACAUCUUAUGCACCCCUAAUGUUGCAGAUAUUCCUGCUGGGGAAGCCAAUCUCAUCCCAUUAUGAAGACCUGUAAUAUAUGAUAAAAAUCAGUAACAUUUAAGUGAAGUUGCAGAGCUUAUACAAGUCCCUCUAAUUUGUUCUUGUAAUCUGAAUUGGAUUGCCUAUUAUAAUGGGCAUCUAGUUUCUGACUUGAUUUGUAGCAUACUUCCAGUGAAAUACUUAAACUCUAUAGUUCUUGUACUGUUGACAUUGCUCAUGCUACAUAAUACAUUAUUCAAUACCACACAACUGACCCUUGUAUAACUCAUGUUGGCUUCAUGAGAUACAAAACUAGCUAUACAUAAUCUCUGGAUAAAUAAAAGGACUAUUAGUAAACACUUGUGAAAUAUGCUAAGAUUAACUGUAGUCACUCGCCUAUUUCCUUUUUUUUUAUUGAAAGAAUACAAACGCUUUCUGCAACUCAUCACACAACUGUCACUAGUAGUUAAAGGCUAGCAUCAAUUCUAGUAUUCCAGAACACAAGUGAGAUUAGGAAGCUCAUUUAAACUUAAUUUUGAUUAACUUCUGGUAUUGGAGUAACAAGCUGAAGUGGCUUGAGUGGCAUCUAGAACCCAUCAAUGGAAUUAUUUCUCUUUAUCUGUUUUCCAUUCUGUUCCCUGAAAUGUAAAUAAGAAUGACCUAUACUGGCUUUUAUGAGAAACAUAGUACUAGCACAAUAACAAUAUAUUUUGGCUAAAGCUACUAGGUGUUGCUACAGUAUAAAUGCUAAUUCUAAACUAGAUGCUAAUAAAAACAAUAGUGAAAAAUGAUCUAAA